GACCCCACUUCUUCCUCGUCUCUCCCAGACCUCAGUAUCGGUAUCAGCAUCAGCAUCUUUUAGAAACCCGCCUUUUGGCUUCUGCAGCUGCAACUUCUCUCCUCCGCACCAACAAGAAGGAGCAUCUGCUCAUAGAUCUCCCCUUGCUGCUAUAAUGGCGGAGCCGACCAAGUACGUUUCGCGGCAAGGCCUCAGCCAACACAACAAGAGGGGAGAUCUUUGGAUCUCUAUACAGGGCAAGAUCUAUGAUGUCUCUCGUUGGGUUGAUGACCACCCUGGCGGUGAGCUUCCAUUGUUCAAUCUCGCUGGCCAGGAUGUUACGAACGCCUUUCUUGCUUUCCACCCGGGCUCUGCAUGGCAAUACCUCGACAGGUUCUUCACCGGGUAUUAUCUCCAGGACUACACCACAUCUGAUGUGUCUAAGGAUUAUCGGAAACUUGUGUACGAGUUCUCCAAAAUGGGUUUAUUUGAAAAGAAAGGGCACGGGGUGUUCUUCACUUUGUCGUUCAUGGCAGUUCUGUUUUGUGUUUGUGUUUAUGGUGUUUUGUGCUGUACUAGCCCAUGGGUCCACUUUGGUUGCGGGGGGCUGAUGGGACUCUUGUGGAUUCAGAGCGGGUGGAUUGGGCAUGACUCUGGGCACUAUCAAGUAAUGACGAGUCGGGGAUUCAAUCGGCUCGCUCAGAUCCUUACUGGGAAUUGCCUUGCAGGGAUCAGUAUUGGGUGGUGGAAAUGGAACCACAAUGCUCACCACAUUGCUGUUAACAAUCUCGAAUUCGAUCCUGAUCUUCAGCACAUGCCCUUUUUUGUGGUGUCUUCGAAAUUUUUCAACUCCCUUACUUCUUACUUUUACGGGCGGAAGAUGAACUUCGAUUCUGUAACCAGAUUCUUGGUUAGCUAUCAGCAUUGGACGUUUUAUCCUGUAAUGUGCUUUGCAAGAGUAAACUUAUUCGCCCAAUCGUUCAUGUUAUUGUUGUCAAAGAGGAAGGUGCCCAAUAGAGGUCAAGAGCUUCUGGGGCUGCUUGUUUUCUGGAUUUGGUAUCCCCUGCUGGUUUCCUGUUUACCCAAUUGGUGUGAAAGAAUAUUGUUUGUCAUUGUUAGUUUUUCUGUCACGGGAAUACAACAUGUCCAGUUCUGUUUGAAUCAUUUCUCUACCAGUGUCUGUGUCGGCCAACCAAACUCCAAUGAUUGGUUUGAAAAGCAGACCAGUGGGACGCUUGAUUUAAAGUGCUCAGCUUGGAUGGAUUGGUUUCAUGGUGGACUGCAAUUUCAGGUGGCACACCAUCUGUUUCCCAGGAUUCCCCGGUGCCAUCUGAGGAAAAUCUCGCCUUUGGUUAUAGAGCUAUGCAGAAAACAUGAUUUGCCUUACAAUUGCGUGUCAUUCUGGAAAGCCAAUGCACUGACAUUUCAGACACUCCGCGAUGCAGCCUUGCAAGCCCGCGAUCUCUCAAAUCCCAUGCCCAAAAAUUUAGUUUGGGAAGCCGUCAACACUCACGGAUAAGUGAACUCUGGAGCUUCCAGAGAUUUUGCUGUCAUGUUCAUCUGAGGGUGAGUCGUUUUGACAUCUGAGGGUGAUUUUUGAGAAAGAAUAAUUGUUACGCACUUUUUUUGGAGGCUUCUAUCUCAUUUAUGAUAUAGGUCAAAAUUACUGAUACCCAUCACUUGCAGGUAAGAAUUCUGGUGGAAAGUAGGGGAAAAGCAGGUGAGGAGUGAGUUAUUGUUGAGCUCGGCAUAUUCAUGCUUGGCACGUGUCCUUGUAGUGUUUUAUAAUUAUUUUCCCAUGAUAUAGCUUUUAAAUGUUAAACUUAUAUUUUCGAGCAUUUGUAUGAAUCAAUUAUGAUGUUUUAGAUUUUGGAUGGAGGCCUUACUUAUAAUGGACUGAGAAGGAUUUGACAUUAUUGAUAGGUAGAGCCCGCUUGCCUUUGUGGUAUUAUUUUCUGACAGUGAUAGACAUAUAUGAAUGAAAUGCAAUGUAUUAUACAGCAAAUGUUUGAA